UUCUUUUCAAGGUUCUUUUAGGGUGGUCUUAGGGUUCCUUGCCAGGUUCUUUCAGGGUUCUCUUAGGGCUCUUUGCAGGAUUCUUCCAGCGGUUCUUUUAUGGUUUCUUAGGGUUCUUUGGGAGAUUCUGUAGGAGGUUCUUUAGGAGAUUCUCUUAGAGUUCUUUGCAGGGUUCUUCCAGAGGUUUUUUUAUGGUUUCUUAGGGUUCUUUGGGAGGUUCUUUUCGGGGUUCUUUGGGAGGUUCUUUAGGAGGUUCUUUUAGGGUUCUCUUAGGGUUCUUUGCAGGGUUCUUCCAGAGGUUUUUUUA